UGGGGAAUUUUGGACAAUGGGCGAAAGCCUGAUCCAGCAAUGCCGCGUGUGUGAAGAAGGCCUUCGGGUUGUAAAGCACUUUUGUCCGGAAAGAAAUCCUUGGCUCUAAUACAGUCGGGGGAUGACGGUACCGGAAGAAUAAGCACCGGCUAACUACGUGCCAGCAGCCGCGGUAAUACGUAGGGUGCAAGCGUUAAUCGGAAUUACUGGGCGUAAAGCGUGCGCAGGCGGUUUGCUAAGACCGAUGUGAAAUCCCCGGGCUCAACCUGGGAACUGCAUUGGUGACUGGCAGGCUAGAGUAUGGCAGAGGGGGGUAGAAUUCCACGUGUAGCAGUGAAAUGCGUAGAGAUGUGGAGGAAUACCGAUGGCGAAGGCAGCCCCCUGGGCCAAAUACUGACGCUCAUGCACGAAAAGCGUGGGGGAGCAAAACAGGAUUAGAUACCCUGGUAGUCCACGCCCUAAAACGAUGUCAACUAGUUGUUGGGGAUUCAUUUCCUUAGUAACGUAGCUAAACGCGUGAAGUUGACCGCCUGGGGGAGUACGGUCGCAAGAUUAAAACUCAAAUGAAUUGACGGGGUCAUAGCUGUUUCC
rnacentral:rRNA from 1 species